AAGGGCACCACAAGAACGCGUGGAGCAUGUGGCUUAAUUUGACUCAAUGCGGGAAAUCUUACCGGGUCCGGACACACUGAGGAUUGACAGGCAAUAUUAUAAAUUAUAUAUUUUUCUCACUUCGGUGUUUCUUAUAUACUCAAUUUAUAUGUUAAAUAUGCUAGUCCUUUCAUGAUUAUGUGAUAGGUGGUGCAUGGCCGUUCUUAGUUCGUGGAGUGAUCUGUCUGCUUAAUUGCGUUUCACUAUUGGGCUUAUAUAAUUACGUAUGUUGUUAACACUUUGACCCCUUUCUACGGAUUGUGCGUGUCUUUGUCUGUCUAACUCGUACAAUUAAGCCCUGAAAGCAACGAACGUGACCGCAACCUCUUGUUGCUCUCAUUACCCAAUACGUAUUUAUAUCAUUGGCCUCACGGUUAAUAUAUUUUUACUGAAGAGAGCUUUCUAAACUAGAGGGACCGCUGUUACUUUCUUAAACCAGAGGAAGGUUGCGGCAAUAACAGGUCUGUGAUGCCCUUAGAUGUUCCGGGCUGCACACGUGCUACAAUGAUUAUUGCAGUGAGCAUCUCAUUUUUUACACAUCGCAUGCGCGAGUCCAUUUAUUCAUUACCUAUUUUGUGUAGUGCUUUAAAUGUGUACCUCUGCGCGCGAUAAAGCCUGCUUCGAAAGUAAGUGGGUAAUCAAUUAGAAGUAAUGAUUUCCUAUUUUUUAUAUUCUGCACACAUAUAUACGGCAUGUAUACCCGGGUAACCUUGUUGUUACUUUUGUGCGUAUAUGUGAUAUCUUGUAUUCUUACAUACAGAUAUAUUACCGUAUGUGCAAUUGUCAAUUCAUGGUGGGGACAGACCAUUGUUAAUUGUUGGUCUCGGUCUUAACUAGGAAUGCCUUGUACGGAUCUUUGGUUCAACAAACCAUCCGGAAUACGUCCCUGCCCUUUGUACACACCGCCCGUCGCUCUUACCGAUGGACUUCUCUGUGAGUUUGAGGGACUGGUAUAUGAAUGAGUUCGCUCGUUCCCCACUAUAGAAACUUAAACGAACAGUGGGGCCUAAAGGAAAGAGAAGUCGAACAAGGCA
rnacentral:rRNA from 1 species